rnacentral:rRNA from 1 species
GAUGAACGCUAGCGGCAGGCUUAAUACAUGCAAGUCGAGGGGCAGCGGGGAUAGCAAUAUUCGCCGGCGACCGGCAAACGGGUGCGGAACACGUACGCAACCUUCCCAAAACAGGUGAAUAGCCCUGCGAAAGUAGGAUUAAUACACCGUAAGAUAUAGAGGUGGCAUCACAUCUAUAUUAUAGGCAGCAAUGCCGGUUUUGGAUGGGCGUGCGCCUGAUAGGUAGUUGGUGCGGGUAACGGCCCACCAAGCCUUCGAUCAGUAACUGGUGUGAGAGCACGACCAGUCACACGGGCACUGAGACACGGGCCCGACUCCUACGGGAGGCAGCAGUAAGGAAUAUUGGUCAAUGGACGGAAGUCUGAACCAGCCAUGCCGCGUGAAGGAUGAAGGCCCUCUGGGUUGUAAACUUCUUUUAUCUGGGACGAAAAAGGGCUUUAUAGCUCACUUGACGGUACCAGAGGAAUAAAGCACCGGCUAACUCCGUGCCAGCAGCCGCC